GUAUCUGCAACCACCACGAACGAUAAAGGAGCAUAUGGAAGACAAGGCCAAAGAGUGAGUGAAGGAGAAAUAGGGUCCCACAAAGGAAGGAGCAGACGGGAGAAGGGACGCAAAGGAUGUAGCUCCUCUGGGAGCAGCAGCUCUGGCUCCAGCGGCUCCAGUUCCUCCUCUGCCUCCAGCCGCUCCAGGUCUUCCAGCUCCCGAUCCUCCAGCUCCUCAGGGUCACCCAACCUCAUUCGCCUCCGCAACAACAACUGCCAACGCUCACAGUCCAAAUCCAAGUUAUCAGUGAAAAAGGAUGACAAGGAGAGGCGUAGGAGGAGCCCCAGCCCCCCCACCAAGGUGUACCUGGGGCACCUCACCAGAAACGUAAUCAAGGGACACAUUCAGGAGAUCUUCGGCACAUAUGGCAAGAUCAAAAUGAUUGACAUGCCUGUGGACAGGCUCCACCCACACCUGUUGGAAGGUUACGCCAAGGUGGAGUUUGAGACGGUCAUUGACGCCAACAAGGCUCUCAAACACAUGGAUGGAGGUCAGAUUGAUGGACAGGAGAUCACAGCCACUGCCGUGCUGGCUCCCCCCACCCCCCCCACAGGAUGCCUCCACAACCCCCUAUGUGGCGACGCACCCCAUCCCGCAUAAGGAGGUCUCGGUCACCACGGAAACACUCUCCAGUUCGCCGCAGAACUCGCUCGCGCUCCCCCGGUUGCAGACGCCACCGCUCACGCUCCAGCUCGAACUCCUCCGGGUAGAGCUGCCUGGAACCCCUGACCUCACAGCUCCUCUCUUCCUCAUUUUCCCUUUCUUCACUGGAAAAGUUUCUGUAUCAAAAGUUCUACCCAGCUUCCUAUCCUUGUGUCCUUCCCUCUACGAUCACUGAUCUCACAGGACAUUACAGGAAAAAACAUGAGUAUUGAGACAGCCUUUCUCUAGCCAUAGUAUAUUUUUAUUGGUCUAUAAGCAUAAUAAUAGUUGCUAGGAUCAAUCUGAGGCAAGCUAGCACUGUCAAGAGGAGUGAAAUGAACCCCCCUCUCUCAUGCCAUUGUGAUUUGUCCUAAAGAGCUGAAUGGUGGUUGACAGAAUUCUCAUUUUUGUGGAACUUUUAUAGUUUUGUUUUGUACAUAGAUUGAGUGUUUUUUGUUUUCAUAUGCAACUACUAAACUGUCUUUAGUUUGAGGCCAGCUUGA